rnacentral:hammerhead_ribozyme from 1 species
ACCCAGCUGACGUGUCCCACAUAGGACGAAACGUGCAUCCUGGAU